rnacentral:tRNA from 1 species
GCCCUGGUGGCUCAGUGGUUAAAGCACUUGGCUGCUAACCAAAAGGCCCAGUGGUUUGAAUCCACCAGCCGCU